ensembl:lncRNA
CCGGCGGGGAGCGCGCUCACUGCCCGGCAUCCCGGGAAAGCGGGUUUACAAAUUCGUGAUUUCCUCCGGGGGCUUGCAUACAGAACACUUGCUAAAUAUAGAGGAACUACAGAACAAAUCUGAACACAUUUCAAAGGUAAAUGAUUGAAAUUUAUUUAGACUCCAGCCUUCAUAUCCUACAAUCUGCUCAAUAGUCCUGUGUCCCCACCCUGGAUCAAAUGAGCUUCAUUUGUUUUUCUUUUAUCUAUAAAUGGUAUGACACCAUCUGUUGUUUUCUGCAUUUGACCCAGAGCAAUGUCUGGCAUCAUUAGAUUAAUCAAGAGGUAGGAAGAGACAGGGUCGGGCAUAGGUUAGUGGCACGAGUCACUUGGUAAUUAAAAAGCCAGUAUAACAUUGGCUCCCUGCACAAUGAAAUAUCCACUGCACAAUUUCAACAAAAUUCUGUUACGUUAAUCAGCAGCCACGGGAAGCUCAGAAUGUGCAUCUAAUUGUCAGAUUGGUGCUGUGAAUGAUACGAGCUAUUAAGUUUCAUCACAAUAUAAAAGUCAGUUAAGGAAACAUUUAUUAUGUGCUCCUUCUUAGCCUACCUCUUCACAUAGGCUAAGUUCCUUCUAGAAAGUAUCUGGAUGGUAGAAAUACAAGUGAC